rnacentral:rRNA from 1 species
UGGAGGAUGGCUCGGCUUGAGCGCCGAAGAAGGGCGUGGCCAGCCGCGAAAGAGCCCCGGGUAAGCGUAUGCAGCUGUAGAACCGGGGAUUCCCGAAUGGGACCUCCUACCAUGGUUCUUCGGAACCAUGGUGCUCCCUUUUGGGAGCGGGAACCCCCCGAACGGAAGCAUCUUAGUAGGGGGAGGAAAAGAAACCAAAUGGGAUUCCCUGAGUAGCAGCGAGCGAAAAGGGAAGAGUCCAAACCGAAUCCCAUGAGGAAACUUAUGGGAGAUGUAGGGGUGUGGGCCCGGCUUCCUCCUCGCUGGUGAAGCUGAAGUGGCCUGGAAAGGCCCGCCAGAGAGGGUGAAAGCCCCGUAAGCGUAAACCAGAAGGAGUUGAGCCGGAGUCCCAGAGUACCGCACCCUGGCUUGGGUGCGGAAAGUUGGGAGUCACCAACUUCCAAGACUAAACACGUCUCAAGACCGAUAGCGCACUAGUACGGUGACGGAAAGUUGAAAAGUACCCCGGAAGGGGGGUGAAAAGUGCCUGAAACCAGACGGUUACAGACGUGUGCAGCCCGGAAGGAUAGAUCCCUUCCAAAGGAACCUGUGGCGACACAGCAGUACGAGGGAGGGGGACCAGGGUUGCACGUUCCGUCUAGAAACACGGGCCGGGGAGUUCGCGGCUGUGGCGAGCUUAAGGGCUUUAAAAGCCCGUAGGCGCAGGGAAACCAACAUGCGCGCAGCCAGCCUUCGGACUGGUGAGGCGCGGAGUCUGAAAGGGCUCGGAGUCACAGCUGUGAAACUAGAAACCGGGCGAUCUAGCCCUGGGCAGGGCGAAGCCAGGCGAAAGCCUGGUGGAGGCCCGAAAGGGUGCUGACGUGCAAUUCGUUCCCCAGACCUGGGGCUAGGGGCUAAAGACCAAUCUAGCCCGGUGAUAGCUAGUUCCCUCCGAAGUGGGUCGCAGCCCAGUCCCGGGCGAGGCGGCCGGUGGGGUAGAGCACCGAUUGGGAAGUAAGGGAUCGAAAGAUCCCGCUUUCCUUUCGAACUCCGAAUUCAUCGGCGUCGUAGACCCCGGGAAACGGGUUACGGGGGGUAAGCUCCCGGACCGAGAGGGGGACAACCCAGACUGAGGUUAAGGCCCCAAAGUGCUGGCUAAAUGUCAAACCGAAAGGCGUCAUAAGCCUCAGACAGCGGGGAGGUAGGCUUAGAAGCAGCCAUCCUUUAAAGAAAGCGUAACAGCUCACCCGCCGAGGCUUAUGGCCCUGAAAAUUGACGGGACUAAGCCAGCCGCCGAUACCUCAGGGCGCAGCUUAAGC